ACCAGCGGCGAAAGGGACAGUAAUGUGUAGGUCAUCUGCCCUCGGGACAGGGAUAGCCACGGGAAACUGUGGGUAAUACCUGAUAACAUCUUCGGAUCAAAGGUGUGAGUCCGCCCGGGGAUGAGCCUACAUCCUAUUAGCUUGUUGGCGGGGUAACGGCCCACCAAGGCUUUGAUGGGUAGCGGGUGUGAGAGCACGACCCGCGUCAUUGGGACUGAGACACUGCCCAGACACCUACGGGUGGCUGCAGUCGAGAAUCUUCGGCAAUGGACGCAAGUCUGACCGAGCGACGCCGCGUGCGGGAUGAAGGCCUUCGGGUUGUAAACCGCUGUCAGUGGGGAGGAAGGCCGUGUGAAGAGCAUGGUUUGACCUAUCCGCAGAGGAAGUGUGGGCUAAGCUCGUGCCAGCAGCCGCGGUAAGACGAGCCACACAAACGUUAUUCGGAAUUACUGGGCUUAAAGGGUGCGUAGGCGGCGCGGAAAGUUGGGUGUGAAAUCCCUCGGCUCAACCGAGGAAUUGCGCUCAAAACUACCGUGCUCGAGGGAGAUAGAGGAGUGCGGAACUUACGGUGGAGCGGUGAAAUGCGUUGAUAUCGUAGGGAACACCGGUGGCGAAAGCGGCACUCUGGAUCUCAUCUGACGCUGAUGCACGAAAGCUAGGGUAGCAAACGGGAUUAGAUACCCCGGUAGUCCUAGCCGUAAACGAUGAGCACUGGAUUGAAGGCCCCCUCAUAGGCUUUCAGUCGCAGAGAAAUUGUUUAGUGCUCCGCCUGGGGAGUAUGGUCGCAAGGC
rnacentral:rRNA from 1 species